UCAAGUCAAGAUUGCUCUUUUAUGCUUGUCUAGGAGUGGAUGAUCAUCAAGAAGGUGGGGCUUUGUGAGCUUGCUUGAGGCUUGUUGGAGUAGGAAAAAGCUCUUGAGGUAUGGAGUAGUCUGAGCGCGAGCGCGUUAGAUGCUUAUCUAUGAGGACGCUUAGACUAGUUUGAUGAUGUAUAGACUUUGGUUGUUGGGCCUGUGUGCCUUUGAGAUAUUAUUAUACUCUUGAUUAGUGGUUUGGGUACUUUUUAUGAUUGUGGAUUAUGACUUGAGGAUUUUAUUUCGGUUUAUAUAUAUGGCAGCUUAGUUCGUCUUUA